GUCAGAUUUAAGGGCGGAGUCACUAGGAAACUUUUAAGGAUGUCACAGCAAGUUAAAAGUUUAAUUGGAGUCUGCUCUUGACUUAGUGAUGCCUGGCACAUGGUGUGCUCCCUGUGGUGUCUGGCUGGAGAGCAUUGUAGAAGAUGAUGCAAUGGCCAAAAAGUACGAAGGGAAGAAGAGGAAGAAGAGCUUUCAAUGACUGGAAAAUGUGGACUAGGACUACCCGAGAUCACAAAAUGGUCUUCCUGCCCACCCGUCUUUAUCAGAGCAGGUGCAGCAUGAUGAGGCUUCCUGCCAACACUUUGCCAGUCCUGGAGAUACAGGUGGUGUUUUAUGAAACCUGGACUUUUCCUCUCCCCAACUCCUGUAGUUUAUUUGCACAGUAAGUUUUUUCCACAAAGAGCCUCCUUGACCUCCUUGGAAGUUCUGUGAACUUGGCUUCUUCCAUCCCUGGGCAUUGUUUCUGUUUUGGGUUAGAUUAGAUUAAUUCCACUCUGACUUUUGAAGGGAGAAUUUUCACUGAAAUUACUAACAUCUUAAAUCUACCAUGUGUGUGAUUAAUUUUAACUCAUUCUCACCAGUUAUUUAUAUUGCCAUUGUAGUGAUAAUAUAUCAAAACUGUGCUUAUCUAUAAAUCUUCAUUAAUUCCUAUUUUAGAAAAAAAUACAAGUAGGUAUUUUAAAAUGGUUUCCUACUGCAUGAUCAUCAUGGGCUGACCCAGUUACAGAUUCACUUUUAUUACAUACCCAUAUAAAAUAAUAUCCAUAUUGUGUUUAUAUACAUCAGUGCACAGGAAGAGGCCACCCUCUUUUAACUUACAGAAGUGACAGGUUUAUUUACAUCAAGCUUUAACUUAGAGUGCACUGGAGGUUUUCAAUUGCAAUCACUCAGCUUUGCACACCAAGUCCCAGAGAAUCCAUUAAAGUCAUCGAUUUGUCUUUUUUAUUUCAUACUAAAACUAUUGCUACCAUACAACUUGUAGUAUAUGUUCUCAUAAGUUCUUAAAAUGAACAUGCUUGGAUAUAGAUAUUCAAUUCUGGAUUUUGCAUAAGUGGCCUCUAUUUUGCCUAAAUGGUGAUGUUUGGAUGUUAACCAGGUACCUGCUACCCUUGUGUAGAGACCUUGUGCAGUUUCACUUUUGAAGCCUUCAUGUUAACUUUCCCAAAGCAAAGCACCUAUUUGAAAUAAGUUGCAUGUGUUUAAUAUGCAGGGUUGUUGCACAAGGGCAGAGGAGUAACCCUCUACUUGCUCUUGGGAGGUUUUAGCCAGCUAGUAUGCCAUCGUCUCACCUCCUGUGCAGGGGCCUCAUGACAGGUCCCUACGAGGUUGUUGACAGCAAUUUCCUGUAAGAAAUAGCCUCCAGCACCAUGUUUAUUGUUGGCUGAGAACAUUCCCCAAGAUGAAUUGUAAUACUCCCAGGUGCUUCAGUUAUCUGAAGAGAUAUGGCAAAAUUCUCAGUCUGGCCUCUAAAACAAAAAUUUAUCUUAAUUCAUGGUAUGUGGUACUCAGUAGUUUAUUUCAGGGAAGGAGGAAGAGAAUGGGACUUGUUCAGAAACUGGAGGAAGAGUAGUUUGAUCAACUCCUAAACUUAUCAAUCAGCCUGAGAGGAAGGACAGUUAGUUUUGUUGAAAAUGGUUGUCUUGUUUCCUGAUUGGCCUUUUGUGGCAUUUUCCUAAAGAUGCUGACUUCUUUAAUCUGACAUGGAAGUCAGAAAUAGUUUUAUCUGGCCAUUGUUACAAUUUGAAUAAGAGGUUUGUUUAAUACUUUUGCUUAAUGUUGGUAUAUUGGUCAGGUGUAAUGCUGAUUAAAUUCUGCAACACAGUGGAAAUAACCCCAAAAUGUCUUUAGUUCCC
ensembl:lncRNA